CCAUUCAAAUGAAGGUUUUCAUACAAACAUCAAAGGAUCUUGACCCAAUUCGCAAACAGCGUUUACACGUUG